CACGUAGGGCGCAAGCGUUGUCCGGAAUUAUUGGGCGUAAAGAGCUCGUAGGCGGCCUGUUGCGUCCGCUGUGAAAACUCGGGGCUUAACCCCGAGCCUGCAGUGGAUACGGGCAGGCUAGAGGUAGGUAGGGGAGAAUGGAAUUCCCGGUGUAGCGGUGAAAUGCGCAGAUAUCGGGAGGAACACCUGUGGCGAAAGCGGCGCACUGGACCACAACUGACGCUGAGGCGCGAAAGACGUAGGGGAGCAAACAGG
rnacentral:rRNA from 1 species